UAAGCUUGACAUCCCAAUGACAUCUCCUUAAUCGGAGAGUUCCCUUCGGGGACAUUGGUGACAGGUGGUGCAUGGUUGUCGUCAGCUCGUGUCGUGAGAUGUUGGGUUAAGUCCCGCAACGAGCGCAACCCUUGUCUUUAGUUGCCAUCAUUAAGUUGGGCACUCUAGAGAGACUGCCAGGGAUAACCUGGAGGAAGGUGGGGAUGACGUCAAAUCAUCAUGCCCCUUAUGCUUAGGGCUACACACGUGCUACAAUGGGUAGUACAGAGGGUUGCCAAGCCGUAAGGUGGAGCUAAUCCCUUAAAGCUACUCUCAGUUCGGAUUGUAGGCUGAAACUCGCCUACAUGAAGCUGGAGUUACUAGUAAUCGCAGAUCAGAAUGCUGCGGUGAAUGCGUUCCCGGGUCUUGUACACACCGCCCGUCACACCACGGGAGUUGGAGACGCCCGAAGCCGAUUAUCUAACCUUUUGGAAGAAGUCGUCGAAGGUGGAAUCAAUAACUGGGGUGAAGUCGUAACAAGGUAGCCGUAUCGGAAGGUGCGGCUGGAUCACCUCCUUU
rnacentral:rRNA from 1 species